rnacentral:rRNA from 1 species
GAUGAACGCUGGCGGCGUGCCUAAUACAUGCAAGUCGAGCGAACAGACGAGGAGCUUGCUCCUCUGAUGUUAGCGGCGGACGGGUGAGUAACACGUGGAUAACCUACCUAUAAGACUGGGAUAACUUCGGGAAACCGGAGCUAAUACCGGAUAAUAUUUUGAACCGCAUGGUUCAAUAGUGAAAGACGGUUUUGCUGUCACUUAUAGAUGGAUCCGCGCUGCAUUAGCUAGUUGGUAAGGUAACGGCUUACCAAGGCAACGAUGCGUAGCCGACCUGAGAGGGUGAUCGGCCACACUGGAACUGAGACACGGUCCAGACUCCUACGGGAGGCAGCAGUAGGGAAUCUUCCGCAAUGGGCGAAAGCCUGACGGAGCAACGCCGCGUGAGUGAUGAAGGUCUUCGGAUCGUAAAACUCUGUUAUUAGGGAAGAACAAAUGUGUAAGUAACUAUGCACGUCUUGACGGUACCUAAUCAGAAAGCCACGGCUAACUACGUG